rnacentral:rRNA from 1 species
GAUGAACGCUGGCGGCGUGCCUAAUACAUGCAAGUCGAACGAGGUGCUUUUGUAGCAAUACGAGAGUAUCCUAGUGGCGAACGGGUGAGUAACGCGUUGGUGACCUACCCAAAGUGUGGGAUAACAGUCCGAAAGGAUUGCUAAUACCGCAUGUGGUCUUCGGAUUUAGAAACUGAUGACUAAAGGAGCAAUUCGCUUUGGGAGGGACCUGCGUCCCAUCAGCUAGUUGGUGAGGUAAUGGCUCACCAAGGCUACGACGGGUAGGGGACCUGAGAGGGUGACCCCCCACAAUGGAACUGAAACACGGUCCAUACACCUACGGGUGGCAGCAGUAGGGAAUAUUGCACAAUGGGCGAAAGCCUGAUGCAGCAACGCCGCGUGUGCGAUGAAGGCCUUCGGUCGUAAAGCACUUUUCUGGGAGAUGAGCAAGGACAGUAUCUCAGGAAUAAGUCUCGGCUAACUACGUGCCAGCAGCCGCGGU